AGACUGGAAUAGAGCUCUGAAAUG
rnacentral:piRNA from 1 species